ACAAAUUUUUUUGGUUUAAAAACAUUGUUUAAAAGCAAGCCUAGCUAUUGCCCUAAACUGUACACGAGCUUAACUUUUUUAGCGUUUAAGCGUUGUUCAAACAUGAGCCUACAACCUCAAACCUUUAAUGUAGCCCCUUGGUUCUCCAUUAAUUUUCAAAUAACAUUUUCUCCGUGAGCAACCUGCAAAGAAAGUGAACAGUUGAUCUUCAGUCAAACACGUGACUCAAUUUUCAUUUAGAAGUUCAUAAUCACCUGCAAAAGACAGGGUACAACAAAUAUCGCUCAACACAAGUUUAGCGGAAACAGUGUCAUAGAAGUACAUUAAAAGGUUGUCAUUAUUGAAUAUGCAAAUCAAGGGCUUGUAGUUCUUGUUUACCUCAGGUUGAUAAUUGUUGGCCAGCACAACUUCAGAACUCAAAGACCUAAGAGAGCUACAAUCUGACAAGAGAUAGGAAAAAACAUGAGUUAAAUAAAAUGUUCAAUGACAGACAUUAGAAACAAAUAGAAACGAUUUAAAUGACACGAGAAUCCCUGGUUUCAAUAUCAUUUUGCUUCAUGUUGGAAAAAAUAUUCUACACCAAAUAUCAAAAAGCAAGCCUUCAAUCAAUCUUUCCAAUGACCAAAUUAUGCUUAUAUUUCACAAAGAAAAUGAUUCUAAAUACACUGCAAUAUGGUACAGAUCAGAUACACGUUCAUUUAGCAGAUUUUAGAAAAUAGUGAAAGUUGACAUUAGGUUCGUAAUCCGACUACCAACAGGGUUAACAAAGCAGAACCAACGCUAGACUGGCAGUUAGAUUGAACUCAUCAUUGUGAUUAAUUAUUAAGCAAAUUAAACGUACCCGACUUAGUAUAGAUGAAGUUCUGCAACCUAGAAGUUGAGAAACGUCAGUUUGGCUCUCUAUCACAUAUUUUCACUUAGCACAAUCCAAAAAAUAUCUAUUGCCUGCAGUGGAACCACAGCAGCCAUGUUAUCCAUUCUUUCGGUCUCGAAAGCAUUGUUCAGUAUGCAUUCAGCUAACGAGUGCACACAUGAAGAAGAUAAUUGUCGCCCCAUCGCUGCAUGUAUGCACAUCCUGUAAUAGAUCACAGACAUUUAAAGGCUCAACAAACAGGCAAGUCUUGUUCAAUAUUUGAGGGCAUAUUGAGAAUAAGAUUGCUCUCAAAGAAAUUUAAGGCUUUAGAUCAAAGUUGGACGAUACAGUAGUCAUGAUAGGGACGUCUUCCUGGCAUGGUACAUGGCGGAAUCCUAAUGUCUUCCAUAACAGAGAUUUUGUUGACGAAGUAUCAAUAUCAAUGAAAUUGAUCACUGCUUCCCUCAACUCCCAUUAUCUCUCUAUCUUAGUUGUACAAAACCCAAACUCAUAACUUCAGAUGUUAUUCCCUUUAGUUUACAUUUUUGUUUCAACAGCCAUGGUAUAAAUAACUGAUGAUCAAGCCAAAUGAUGUAUGUUAUGAUCAAGCCAAAUGAUCAACUAACUUGAGCAAGUAGCCUGCUUCAGAAAAAUGGAAAAAUAUUUCUUUUAGUGCCUAUAUUAGCACUGCAUCAACUUAAAAAUUGAGUUGCAUAAUGUGGCAUAACUGUCUUUAUAUCUAAGGCUGAAAGGGUGUGGGAAGGGUGGGGUUGUAUGUUGCGAAAUUUUCAAAACCUGAUCAACUAAUUCUUAAUGCAUAGUAAAUGUGGCAGAUUAUGGACGUGAUGCUAAAUUUCGAAACUACACUAAGAAAAUAAAGAUGUUGGAGGAAGGGCUUAAACCUUCGACUUUGUGCUUUGAAAGCCACACCCUCUAACCAACUGAGUUACUCCAGCUUAUUAUGCAUGCUGUGCUAAAUGUUAUAUUCACAAGAUACAUGGCUUUGUGGUCAUAUCUAACACAUAUCAUAUGAUAUCAUUUGCAAUAGAUCAUAUGCUAAAUGUUAUAGUAAUUAUGUAUUUUUGCCAUUUAACAUAGAUCAUAUGAUAUUAAAAUUACUAACAAAUACAAAAAUUAGUUAAGUAACUACUUACUUCCUUGGAUAAUGACAUCACCAAUGACUUAGUUGCAUGCUCCUUUUUUUGUGUAUUCAUUUUUUGACCUUGUUGGUGGUGUUGCUAAAUUCUUUCCUCGUGGAUAAGUAAACAAUAACGGAUAAUUCCUCGGGAUAAAAAUUUCAAACUACUGACAAAAAAGAGAAAUUAGUAUGUAAACCACUAUCUUAUUAGCUUCACCCACUCAAAAUGCAUUUAAGUUAAUGCAAUAUCUAGUCAAGUUCGAUCAACGCUUUUCAGACCAAGGAAGAUUUCAAAUAGUGCAACCGAAUUUGUGUAAGUGUAAAUCAUGCAUAAGGAUUAAACUAAUGGGCAUCUUGUAAUGGAGGAUGCAAUGAACAUAGAAGAUAAAUCAAAAGAGAGAGAAGAUAAAUCAAAAGAGAGAGACACUCUUCAGAAGCUUAUGAUUUCAUACCCGAUAACCACACUCUUCACGAACUUAUGAUUAAAAAGUUCAAUAGUUUGUUCGUGGAAUCAACUAUUGAACUAUCAAAUCAUGUUUUCAUACCCGAAUCCCGAUAACCACUAAAAUUGUAGUAAAAGAGCAUACCCAGUGCUCCUAACUACAUAUAGCUGAAAAAUCCUCAAUACUUGCCUAUAAACUCAAACACCUACACACUCAAUCACCACAAUCUAUUAUAGCUAGACCAAAGAGCAGAAGUUGUAAUUGCUUUCAGACUUUACCAGAACUGUCCAAUUUUUUUGUUUUGUUAACCUGAAGUCUUGAACUGCUCUUUCUAAAAGUUACUGAGAUUAAGCAGGUCAGAGGUUGUAAAGACUAGAGAAGAAAGAUGCAAAUGUAGUAUGGGUCUAGAAAGAAUUGGUGAAUUUUCCACACCUUAGAGGUGUUUUAUCAUUUCAUAUAUAUACAAGAGUUUACAAUAAUCUUGGAGAGAUUUCCUCUCAAUGAUCCUAAAGAUAUUCUCUCAAUCAUAUAUUCUCUCAAUGAUCCUAAAGAUAUUCUUUCCAUAUACAUAUUAUGCACACAUGUUUAAUGUGAUCAUCUAGAAGGUUCAUCAGAGUCAUUGCUUGAUAUCUUAACACCCCCCUUCAAGAUGAUGGUACUGCAAGGACGAACCAUCAGCUUGUCACGCAGGAACUGAAAUCUGGGAACACUUAAGCCUUUAGUGAAGAUAUCCGCUGUUUGAUCGGUACUACAAACGAAAACGAUUUUUAGUGAACCAUUCAUAACUCGUUCCCUUAGAAAGUGAUAAUCAAUUUCAAUGUGUUUGGUUCUUGCAUGGAGAAUCGGAUUGGAUGCUAAAUAUGUGGCACUAAUAUUGUCGCAAUGAAGGAUGGGAGGAUGAGAUAAUGGAAUACGUAACUCACGAAGUAAAAAUGUGAGCCACUGAAGGUCAGCUGCAGUGUGAGCUAGUGCACGAUAUUCUGCUUCGGCACUUGACCUUGAAACUGUUGUUUGCUUUUUUAGUGGCCCAAGUGAUCAAGUUGCGACCAAAAUACACACAUAGACCUGUUGUCGAUCUUCUAUCGUCGGGACAACCAGCCCAAUCAGCAUCAGAGAACCCUCGAAGACAUUCAUCUUUAGAUUUAACAAGAUGAAUUCCGUAGUUAGGUGUAUUUUUAACAUAACGAAUGAUACGUUUGACGACAGCAAGGUGACUGUCUCGUGGUUGAUGCAUAAAUUGGCAAACUUGAUUGACUGCAUAAGUGAGAUCUGGGCGAGUGAUUGUGAGAUAUUGUAGAGCACCAACUAGACUCCUAUACGAGGUCGCAUCAACAAGAGAACUGGAGUCAGAUAAAGAUAGCUUUGUUCCAGCAGCAACUGGUGAUGAGCAUGGCUUAGCAAGAAGAAAGUUUGCCUUCUUAAGCAAGUUGAGAGCAUACUUGGUCUGGCUUAGCUGGAUGCCUUUCGAAUCACGAUGAACUUCAACACCUAAGAAAUAAUUUAAUGGUCCAAGAUCCUUGACAUCAAACUUCUUAUUAAGUGUUGCAAUAACCUUGGAGAGAUGACCAGUAUUUGAUCCCGUAAUGAUAAUAUCAUCGACGUAGACCAAAAGAAUUAUAAUGUCAUUAGAAGCAUACUGCAGGAACAUGGAUGUGUCGGCUUUACUUCGAAUAAAACCCAUAUCAAACAAAACAACACUGAGUUCAUCAAACCAGGUACGUGGUGCUUGUCGUAACCCAUAAAUGGACUUGUGAAGACGACAUACAUGAUUUGGAAAUUGUUUAUCGGUGAAUCCUGGAGGUUGCUUCAUGUAGACAGUUUCACGAAGAAUACCAUGUAGAAAUGCAUUUUUGAUGUCAAGUUGUCGAAUCGACCAAUUGCGAUUGCUUGCAAUGGAUAAGACAAGGCGGACAGUUGGAGGUUUAACGACUGGACUGAAUGUUUCAUCAAAGUCUAGCCCAUACUGCUGAUUGUAUCCUUUAGCAACAAGUCUGGCUUUGUGUCUUUCUAUGGUGCCAUCUGCAUGUCUUUUAAUCUUAAAGACCCAUUUGCAGCCUACAACAUUUGUUGCGUGAGAUGUGGGAACAAGUGACCAGGUACGUUGACGAAGUAGAGCAUUGAAUUCAUCAAGCAUAGCAGCCCGCCAUUCAGGAAAUUUGGAUGCUUCAGUAUAACAUGUUGGUUCUUCCAUAGGACUAUUAACCACUACUUGAAAACAUUUCGGUAAAGUAUGUUUGCUCACAAGGCCAGUAAAAGGUUGUUUUGGUCGGCUAAUACCAGCACGAAGGCGAGUCACCAUUGGGUGUUGUAUAGUUGUUGCAUCCAAGGUUUGAGGUGGUGGUGGUAAACGAGAGAUAGUCUCUUGUGAUGGUUGGGUCUCGUGUGUGGGUGGGCUUUCAGGUGUUGGUGGGCUUUCAGGUGUUGGUGGGUUUUCAUGUGGUGGUGGGGUCUCAUUGAGUUGGGGUGGAGGAAUUGGUAGUGUUGUUGAAGUGGUAACAGUAGUGGGGUUAGAGACAGUGUUGUUUUUAAAGGAUGGUGGUAAGAGAAGGCCUCUAGUAAUUGGUGGUGUGGGUUCAAUAGGAGCAAGCCAAUCUUCGAGUGACUUUGAAGCCUUAAGUGGACCUGUAGUGAGCAAUUGCGCAAAUGGAAAGAUGUCCUCAUUGAAGCGAACAUGGCGAGAUAGAUAAACUUUUCCACUUUUUGGAUCAAAGCAUCUAUAACCUUUUUGUUGGCUUCCAUAGCCCAAGAAAACACACGACACUGAUUUUGGCGAGAGUUUAUCUGCUUUAGUUGCACCAAGAAAAGGAAAACACUGGCAUCCAAAUGUACGGAGUGUAGCAUAGUCAGGAACCUUGUGAAAGAGCAUCUCAUAUGGUGACUUGUAGUUCAACCCAUGAGAAGGUAAUCUGUUAAUAAGAUAAACUGAGGUUGAGAAUGCUUCCAUCCAAAAUUUGCGUGGUAGAAAGGCAUGAUGACAAAGAGAAAGACCAUGCUCAACAAUGUGUCGGUGCUUGCGCUCAGCUUUACCAUUCUGUUCGGGCGUAUGAGGGCAAGUAAUGCGAUGUUCAAUGCCACUAUUGACAAGCAACUCUGCAAAAACUUUAUUAACAUACUCCUUUCCACCAUCAGUUUGCAAAGAUUUUAUAGUAGUGCCAAAUUGAUUUUCAACAGCAAAUUUAAAUUUUCGAAAAUAAUCAAAUGUUUCAGAUUUGCGAAUGAGAGGAUAAAUCCAUGUAUAUUUAGAAUAAUCAUCCACAAAAAUGAGAUAAUACCUGAAACCACCAUGAGAUAGUUCAGGUGCAGGACCCCAUAAAUCUGAAUGAAUAAGUUGCAAAGGGGCAGUGGAUUUAAAUAAAGAUCUUAAAAACGGCAAACGACAACUUUUAUUAAUAGAACAACUCAAACAGUUAGGAAUUUUAGAACUUCCAAUAAACUGAAGGCACUUAUGUUUCACUAAAUGAUGUAAAAUAUUUGGUCCAGGAUGACCAAGUCGCUUGUGCCAAUUAGCUAAGGUAGAACUUUUCCGAACCAUGGCUGUGUAAAAAUGGGGAAAAGAGCCAUGGCGUUGUGCUUGCAUAGGGAAGAGUGAGUUUUUACUCUUUCCUUGAUGAAGUAACUUCCCUGUCCGUCGAUCCUUUAUAUAAAAACCACCACGAACAAAAGUGAAUUUGCAAUCAUUAUCAUAAACAAAACGAUAGACGGAAAGUAAAUUUGCUGUUAAAUUUGGCACAUAUAAAAUAUCUUUCAACUGAAAAUUAGAAGAUGGUGUGGAAAGUAUCAAAUCACCAGUAGCUUCGAUAGGUAGGGUCUUACCAUUUGCAACAGUAACCUGAUCAGAUCCAUGAUAAGUUUGACGAUUGAUCAUGUUCGAGUCAUCCGGAGUCAUAUGAUUUGUUGCUCCAGAAUCUGGGAACCAUGUUGAUUCACACGGUGCAGAAAAACUCAUAGCNNNNNNNNNNNNNNNNNNNNNNNNNNNNNNNNNNNNNNNNNNNNNNNNNNNNNNNNNNNNNNNNNNNNNNNNNNNNNNNNNNNNNNNNNNNNNNNNNNNNAGGAAGAUCAUCACCUUGAUUUGAAGUAUUGUUUUGUCGGUAAGUGGUUGCACCAUGUCCCGCAUUGUUGCAAUGAUGACAAUCAGGAUGUGAGUUGUGAGAAGUAUAAGAGUAGCCCCGACCAUUACCACGACCUCUAUAGGAACCACGACCAUUUCCACGGCCUCUGUAAGAACCACGUCCAUUCCCUCGACCACGAGAAUAUGAACGACCAUGACCCCGAUUGUUUGAGACAAAGAAGGCGCUGGUUUCACGAUCAGAGUGAGGCUGAUGAUAUAUUUCCAAACGUUUCUCCCGAUUGAGGAGCAUGCUGUAUAGUUCUUCAAAUGAUGGAGGACUACACAUAGCCUGGACCGUAUUAACAACAACAUCGUAAUCAAGAUCUAGGCCAUCAAGAACACAACCGACCAAGUCUCGAGUGGUCAAAGGAUGCUGAAUGAGAGAGAGUUCAUCAGAAAGCAUUUUAAUACGAUCCAUAUACUCAGUAAUAGUUGAGGAACCUUUCUUCAUGUUUGAUAGUUCAUGUUUGAUCUGAUAAUAUCGAGCAUUUGUUUGAGACAUAUAAGCACGAUCUAAUGCUUCCCAAGUUUCACGGGCAGUCUUGUAGCCAACAACCUGCGCAAACACUGGAGGUGUUAAUGUAGCAUGAAUCCAACUAAGAAGAAUUUGAUCUUUCUUCUUCCAUUCAAUGAACUUUGGGUUUAUAACAGUGGUUGCAUUCACUGCAACUACUUCUUGUGGGGUAGAGAUAGUACCAUCAACCAUACUCAACAUAUCAGUUCCAUAAAGAAUAGGAAGUAAUUGACUUUUCCAUAACAAAUAAUUUGUUCGAUCAAGUUUGAUUGCGACCUGGGAUAAAUUUGGUAUUCCAGGAAUGCAAGAUGGGAAGUAAGAUGAUGAAGAAGAGGUGGAAGAUAACGAGGGAGAUGAAGAAGGAGUCAUUAGGACAGGAUUCAAGAGACCUGUGAAACCUGCUCUGAUACCAAGAAAGAAUUGGUGAAUUUUCCACACCUUAGAGGUGUUUUAUCAUUUCAUAUAUAUACAAGAGUUUACAAUAAUCUUGGAGAGAUUUCCUCUCAAUGAUCCUAAAGAUAUUCUCUCAAUCAUAUAUUCUCUCAAUGAUCCUAAAGAUAUUCUUUCCAUAUACAUAUUAUGCACACAUGUUUAAUGUGAUCAUCUAGAAGGUUCAUCAGAGUCAUUGCUUGAUAUCUUAACAGGUCUCACCUGCAACCUGUGAGCUAAGAAUCUUAUCACCAUCAGAGGAAGGUUUUCGAUAUCUACCCAUCUGUUCUGGCCUUAGCCAACACCUAAGGGUCGCUAUCUUGAACAAACCCUUGCUCUAAAGCAAUAUGCAAAAUACAUCAAACACCAUUUGAAAAUCCCAAAUAACAAUAAAAUAACAGAUCUGGAGUUUCUUGUUGGUUUUACACUUAUAAACCGUCAUACUUGUGUUCACUGAUCUGAAACUUAAAGUAAGGUGCUGUUUGUUUUUCCACUUUUCUAGUAACUAGUAGCUUAUAAGCUAUUAGAUCAGCCAAAAGCCCGUUUGUUUUUUUGGGCUUAUAAGAUUUUCUAGUAGAAAAUCGCUAGUUAGUAGGCGGUUACUAUAAGCUCCAGGAUGGAGCUUAUAGGUAGUAGAAAUAUCUGAUAGGAUGUAAAAUUACAUCUAAAACCCUUCUUAAUAAUUAAAAUUACUAUUCAAACCAAAAUCAAAACUGAAAAUUUACAUGGGUUAUGUUUGUUCUAUUUUCGUGGUCUUUUUCUAUUAUUUUAAAAAUUAUUUUAUUGUAUUCAUUCAUUAAGAGAUACUAUUAUUUGUUAUGGUGUAAUAUUAUUUCAUUAAAAAUUUUCUAUGUGUAGUAAAAUAAAAUAAUUAUAGAACAUAAGUCCAUUUUUUUAACGAGGGUAUAUUAGUAAAAAAAGAAUAUAUAAAUAGAUUCAGAAGUGGUAAAAACAAACAGGUAGAACUUAUAAGAAUAGCUUAUAAAAAAUUAUUCAAAAUAAAAACAAACAACAUAUCUUAUAAGCUAUUAGACAUCUAAUAGCUUAUAAGCUACUAGCUAUUAGAACUUGAAAAAACAAACAUCACCUAAAUUUUAAUUGAGCAUCCGCUAUAAAAAUAUUUUCAAUCAGUUAAGAAGAGAACCGCAACAUGAGAAGCAGACCACUUUCUUAUGGCCUACCAUGCCAUUCUCUAAUGGAGAAUGAGGAAUUAAAUUGUAAAUAGCAAUAAUAUAAAGCACUAUAUGAAUACAAUAGAAAGGUAAUUAAAAAGGCGAUCAGAUUGGUGAGAUUACUCAAAAUGAGACAUUGUCCAUAUUUAAUUGAUGAGACAAUACCGAAUACCAAUAACUUCAGAAGCAAAUCUCUGCAUUUCAGGCUCUAACAAUCAUAUUACCUUUCUAAAUUUCUGAGACGUACUUUUUCAGGUAAAAAACUCCUGCUUAUACGUUUUCUAAGAAUAAAAGUUACAUUAUAUGAAGAGAAAUAUAAAUAGCUCCCAGCACUCAAAAACACUAUAAAAUAAUGUUCAAUAAAAAAAAUACCUAGAAAAUAUAUAUACUCCAGUAUGAUUGAGAUAGAUACCUAAGAAUAUAACUUUCAAUUGCCAUAGUAAUAUACAAAAUCAUUCCCUUCAAUUUUGUUUCUAUUCCUGAUUCUAAGCUUUAUGAAGUAAUGCUAAGAUUAACAUUGGAGAUUCAAGAUACACUCACCAUUCACAGAAAAUUAGUUUGUGAUUGGAAAGAGUUCGUUGCUGGUUAUGGACUUGGUCUGUGGUGGAGUGACGAUAAUCUAUCUGCAACAUUAAAAAUCUGCAUUACUUUAGGAUACAUAUGAACAAUUGUGAAUUACAAAUUAAACCAAUUAAAGAAAGGUGGAAAAACAAGACCAAAUACAAAAACUAAAAUGGCAUUGAUGAACACAUACAAUCUGCAACUUGUGUGUAGCCAGUAGCCUUGAUUACAAUCUUAACUAAUAAAAAAGGGAAGUUUUUGGAUUCAUGGAUGUGGUUGAAUUUUGGUGGUCUGUUAAACUUAGAUGACAUUAAUUAGUGACAAGUGAAAACCAUUUUCAGUGUAAUAGAACAUUAUUUUUUCUUUUUUCUUUUCUUCUUUAUUUAUGGGUAGAUCACUCAUAAAUGUACACUCUCCAAGACUGAUAGUAAUUUCCAGUUUGAUUGUCUUGAUGGACCUAAGGAACCAUCCAAUAAAAGAUAGCACGAUUGUUCCAAGGAAAAAUACAAUCAAACCCAACAAUAAUGUCACAGCUUCAAAACAAAAUAAAUGAGAGUGAAAAAGAUUAUAUGUUAGAAUUCAAAUAUGAAGAAAUGCACAAUUUCAUAUAUUUUUCAUAUUUAGUUGAAUCUAUGAUAUAACUUCAAUUUAAACAACAUCCAAGAAAUGCCAGUUUUGACUCCAAAGUCCACAAAAAGCAGAUAGAUUGCACCCAGUUUCAAUUUUUAUUUUAUUUUUUUAAACAUUUGAGUCUUAUUAUAUGAUUAAAUAGUGUCUCUAUAUGAUUUUUGUAAAUGACCUUAUUGAGCUAUCAGAUUCAAUUUCAAAAGAACGAUCGUUGACUAACAAAGAACGCUCAAGGAAAAUAAGUUGCUUGGUAAUAAGAGGGUUGUGACUCUUACGGCCACAACCUAAUCGGCUAAUCUAUAUCUUUACUUUUGAGCUGCAAGUGUUAUCCUUAGGUUUUAAAAUGACUUUGAACCAAUUCUCAACGUGGCUUUUAUUAUUUAAGAAAUACGAUACAGAGGUUGUGAUAUUGUUUAUGAAUGCAAUCUCAUUCCUCGGUACAAACUAACUUCUACAAAGUGAAUCCUAACACAGAAAUCAACUUCAUUUUUCUUAGCAUAUAAUAAACUACUAAAAGAAGAAGGAUAUGUCAAGUACAAACAUGUAAGGGAGCAUCGUAUGGUCUUUGUUCUUGUAGAGAUGUGGAGGAAAUAAAAUGCAGUCAUCUUAACCUAACUAUCAAACUCCAAAAAAUAUACAACAUCAUUACGAAACAAUAAACAUACAUAUGAGCCACCCAAAAUAAUGCAGACUACUUUUAGCAGCCAAAACAAAUAUGGCUUGCAGGCUGAAAGUUAAUCUACCAGGACCACUCUAAAAUUUAUAUUUAGUUUCCUUGUCAAACACCAUGUGUAUUAAGCACAAAAGUCCCAGGAUGCAAUAUGAUUGAAAUACUAUAUUACUGAUUCAUAACUUAAAAUUUAUAAGUCUCACGUGCAUUUUAUAGGUGUCAUAGGCUGCAGAUGAAAUCAGGAAAGUAAGAAAAGCAGUUUGUAUUGAGUCACUUAUUUACUGGGAUUUGUAUGAUGAGCAGCUGGUGAAUAUAAGGAGAGCGUGUUCCUUGCCGCUAUCACUUUCCACCAUUGAACUAUUCCUGAACUUACUUGUAUAUACGUAGUAUGUCUACUUCCCUUAUUCUACAUAGUUUGGUCUUCUUAUAUAUACUAUUGUUUGAAAUGCACCGAAAUCUCUUAUCUACACAUAUUUUAACAUAGAUAAAUAAUAGCGAAGCUCGUGAUUAAUUAUGAAGAAAAACAUUCUAACAAUGAGAGAUAGCUUACCUUCAAGGUUAUUCUACAUAGUAAAUUGUAUCGUCAAUUCCAGAGUAGCAAUCUGCAAGAAGAGAAUAAGACAGAUAGUUAAAUGGUUAACACAAUGAACCAUCAACCGAUAAAAAAGUGCGAUGACACUUGGCCAUUAAGAGAGUUUACAAUUGCUAAAGAAAUGCAUACUCGUAUUAACUAUGCAUUUGAAAAAAUGUUUACGUCAGUAUUUGGUUUUGCUUCAAUAUCACAGGAUUUCCAAGAGAGAAAUUAUUAAUUGAUUGUCAUAAAACUAAACCCACUUUGGCGUAGCAAGAAACUUACUGUAAAAUGUAACAAUUUGAUAGAAAUAGUGCAAUCAUGCUAGAGAAUUGGAGAUGCAGAAUGCAGUUUGAACAUUUGAACACUCUCCCGUAAUACAAGAAUAUAUGGUAGUCUAAUAAGGAAAUUCAUCAUCUCCUACCCGAUGUAACUUUAGCAUUCAGGUUGACCUUUCAAUGUCAGUGUACCAAGUGUUUUUAGUCAGUUCUAUACUUCUAUAUAGUCUUUGUUUUAUAUUCAGUACCGAUCAGUAGGUAAAAUUCAAUAAAUUCUAUAUAGUCUUCGUAGGUAAGACCUUCCCCGUUAUUUGUGACCUGAUAGAUACUGUAUCACACUAUCAUAAAUUGUUGUAAUUGGCUAAGAACUUGAUAACGUUCAUUCAACCAUAAUGAAGCACGGAGAAAAUAAGAGAAAAGAGAACACCGAAGAAAGAAAAGUUCUUAUAAAAAGAAAUCUGAUAUAAGAAUGAGUGAUAAUAAAACUUAUGAUGCUAUUCAAACUGUGAUACAAACAUGGUUUAUAAUUGCUAAUUGUUCCUAAAAGAAUUUUUCAGUGGAGGUUGGUUCUUAGUGCAGUAAAUCAGAUCGUAGUUUCAAUUUUAAUUUAGGAAAAGGGUUUACUUGGCUUCUCAUUCCACAAUUAAUCAACAUCUAUUUAUUUCAUCUACAAUUGUAUUAUAUUCCUAAUGAAUAUAAAAAAGAUGUAUCUGUUUAUCCUUUACAGAUCCCAUGUACAACACACAUGGCUGUCCAAGUAGGAAAAUGCAAACCUCAGGUCAGAUAUAUACUUUGGUAAAAAUAAUUUUAAAUGAUAAUUCACAAACAGGAGUUCUUGUACAAACCUAUUUAUUCAUUAAUAAAUAGAAAGAAAAUAAAGUUUGUUAUUUAGACAAAUUCAGAUAAGGUACCUAAGCCAAGUACAAAACCCUAGAAGUGGAGCCAGUACGUUCAACAUCUUAACCAUAUGUGGGUACUUCGAAAGAGUUAACUGAUUGUGGGUGAUGUAACGCCCCGGGAUUUCGUCCUCGCUCAUCCCGGUGCGUCGAGCACCAUACCGCUCGCUAAUGUCAAUAUUGUCCCCCUUUAGUCACUGCGGAUAUCCAGCAGUAGAGGAUUUUGGAUCACGGCCCACCCAUGUGGUUUACCCCAAAAGGCCUUGACAUUAGUUAGAGUAUGGUUAAGCUCUAUAUACUACCCAUACAACCACUUCCUUGGCAAUGUGGGACUAACACCAACUCAUGGGUGUUACAGGUGAACCGAUGAGAGUUAAGCGAUUCCCACUCUUUCUUUUUCCAUAACGAUGCACACAAUAGUAUGGUUCUCCAACCGAUGUUGUGUGGGUGUUCCAACAUUUUAUAAAAUGGUUGCUCCGCCUCUAGACAAAGGCUAAUAUCCCAGCAGUAUGGUUCUCCAACCAAUGAAGCCAUUGAGUAUUACAAUUUGAGAAAGUAGUUGAUCGAUCCAAUGUCCUCUAUGAAGUCUGUAAACCUCCAAAAAAAUAAAGCACGCAGAAAUUUGUAUCCCUAUUCUAUAUUCUGGAAAAAAAAAAUGCAAAGAGAACAACAAAAAAAUUGCAGAUUGUCUAACGAAUUCGAUCUGUAUUCAAAAUUUUAGAUGUUUAAUUAUAUGUUAAUAAAAAAUCACAAACAUAUAAGGUGGGACAGGUUCUGAACAAAAAUUAUAAUAUAUUCUUGUACCCACUAACAUUCUAAUCAUAGUAUACAAUUUUGAAUUUUGACAUCGAUACUAUCUUAAAUUAAUUGUAGUCUUAAAGCUUUUCUUUGACCUUCUAUGUGUUAUACAACGAAAAUGAGACAGUUUUGACACCUAUAUGAUAAUAUAGGUAUAGGUGUUAAAAUAUAACAAUAUCCGACAAUCAAAAAUAACUCACUUGUCAAAACUGUCUCCCCAACUUGUCAAAGUUGUCUCACAUGUAUGUUUUAUAUUAAGUUGAGAAUUAAUAUAUAUUAUCAGAAAACCAACCAGAACAACAACACAUUGUAUUAAUGACAAAACCAUAACUUUCUCCAUAAUUUCCUACAAUUACCACCUUCAAGACUUCGACAAUUUUUUUUUAAGGUGGACCUUGUUUUCUUUUGGAUAUGUGAAGAUCAAUGUCGAUGGACUUUCUAGGGGAAAUCCUGGCAGAGCAAGAUGGGGUGUUGUCUACCAGACGGUGAUGGUACUGUACUAUCUUAGGAGACAACUUAGGAGGACUGUGAGUUGUUUCUAACAUUAUUGCUAAAAAAAUGGAACUUAAGGACUGCUACAAGAAAUAACUCAAUAUGAAGGCUAUGGGACAGGGCUGAGAUUGCAUUUGGCUAGGAGGAGAUUCCGAGCCAGUGAAUUAAUGGGUCAAAAAGGGCAUUGUACACUGGACUGCUAAAAAAACAAAUACUAAAAAUCAAGGAGACAAAGCCAUAUGAAUUAGACUAUCUUAAAACCAACAUAGUAUUUUUUUAUCUUAAACAUUUUUAUACCCUAAUAACACGAAGGUCAUAUGAAUUUGACUAUCACAAUAAUUUAAUUAUCUAAAAAGCCAUAUGAAUUUGGCAGAGCUAUCCUAAUAUUAAUAUCUUUUAUAUCUUUUCCAAGGUAUAAUAUUAAUUAUACUUGACCAAUAUGUUACUUUUCAGAAGGUGUAUAUUUCACCACUUUUGCAUCCUAUUUCAGUAAGUAGGUUAUGAAUUCAGAAGGUUUGAAAUAAUUCAUAAGUGGAAAUUUUUUAAACCAUUGAAUCUCCACGAAUUAACUAUUGUAGUAAUUCUCUGCUAAUUAAUUGUUGAAAGUUUGUGGGAUGUCUUCAAACUUAAAUUGAAUUCAGAAGUAUUUAAACAAAUCAAUCUCCACGAAUAGUAUCUAAUGUAACCUUGAAGAUAAUAACACAAUACGUACCUUGAACAUGGAAAUCAAACAGGAUGAAGUAGAUGAUGAUCACAAUUGAAGAAUCUAUAACAUUUAAUGAAGUAGUCAAUAAAAAAAAUGCAGAUAUGGUUUUCUUUCUUGGUAGAUAUUAUAGUUUGAAAAACAAUAAUUCCAAUGGUUAUUCCAAGAACACAAACAUCUAUAUAUUUGCAAGAAAACAAUUUGUAAGGAAAACUUACAUUCAAAGGAGAAGACAGAGAAUAAAAGAGAGAAGUGUGUGAUUAAUUGUCGAAGAAGAAGCCAUAAUAGAGAGAGAUAAAUAGGUUUCUGUCAAAGGAUUAUAAGUUGUAGGUUUAAUGAAAAAGGUUUAAAAAAAUGAGUAGUUAAUUAGCCCUACACAAUUGUUGGAGAUAAAGGUAUGGAGAAUCCAAGAAUAGUGGGGGUGAAAAUGAAAUGAUUUUUCUGUUCCUCGUCUUUUCUUCUUUUUACAAUUUUGGAUUUUGGGGUUGUUUAACUGAACUACUGAUGCACGUUUGGCUUUUCUUAUUACCAUGCUAUCACCUGUGGCAUUCAGUUUGACUUGUUGUAAGGUGUGGAUUUUGUGUGGCAGAACUGCAUAAUAGCAAGACAGUCUGCGUUUGCUGCUACUAUCAAGAAUAACUUGUUCGUUUAGCACCCUCUACUUAGACUUGACUUAUACACGUCAUACUAAUCAUCCUACUUAUAACCUCAGCUAUAUUUCAUUUUUUUACUGGCGGCUAAUUUGUUCGUUUACCACCCUCUACUUAGACUUGACUUAUACACGUCAUACUAAUCAUCCUACUUAUAACCUCAGCUCUAUUUCAUUUUUUUACUGGCGGCUUUAACUAUAAUCUCAAUUCUAUUCAUUUAAAAUUGAUUGAAUAAACAAUUCGUAAAAAUAAAUGUUUUGCAAGAACCUCAGCUCUAUUUAUUUGAAAUUUAUUGAAUAAACAAUUCAUAAAAGUAAAUGUUUUGCAAGAUUCCAGGUAGUCCAUAGUUCCUUCGAUGUGCAUGCAAAAGGUUAUAUGGUACUUUGGCGUCAUUGUUUUGGUUUUUAGUUUUGGACCCAUGAGGAGAGUCUUCUCGAAACAAUAUUAAUUAAAACUAAAAGUUAGCUGUUAAAAGGAAAAUGCUAACCUAUAACAGAUCGAUAAAUGAGAUUGAAUGUACCAAGUACAACAGCAGGGUAGUAUGAACAAAGUAUGCAUCUUAGGUUCCUUUGUUUGUAGGGAAAAUAGUUAGCUGUUACAAGGAAAAUGCUAACCUAUAACAGAUCGAUAAAUGAGAUUGAAUGUACCAAGUACAGCAGCAGGGUAGUAUGAACAAAGUAUGCAUCUUAGGUUCCUUUGUUUGUAGUGCAAAUAGUUAGUUGUUACAAGGAAAAUGCUAACCUAUAACAGAUCGAUAAAUGAGAUUGAAUGUACCAAGUACAACAGCAGGGUAGUAUGAACAAAGUAUGCAUCUUAGGUUCCUUUGUUUGUAGGGCAAAUAGUUAGUUGUUACAAGGAAAAUGCUAACCUAUAACAGAUCGAUAAAUGAGAUUGAAUGUACCAAGUACAACAGCAGGGUAGUAUGAACAAAGUAUGCAUCUUAGGUUCCUUUGUUUGUAGGGCAAAUAGUUAGCUAUUACAAGGAAAAUGCUAAUCUAUAACAGAUCGAUAAAUGAGAUCGAAUGUACCAAGUACAACAACAGGGUAGUAUGAACAAAGUAUGCAUCUUAGGUUCCUUUGUUUGUAGGGCAAAUGAUUAAAAUUUCAAACUCAUAUAACUGCAAUACACAAACUCACUCUCUAGCUAGGCGCCCGAUUCAUAAAAACCUUCCAUAAAGCUAAAACAUAUGAAAAACUCUAUCUUUAAAAAUCUCUAAAACAUAUCACCAUUAGUCAGCUUAUGUAGAAUAACAAUACUGAAUUAUAACUAACCAAAAAAACAAAAACCCAAUACUGUAUCUCAAAUUCACUUCAGUAAAUCUUACUAAAACUACUCAAACACAAAAACCCAAACUCUGAAAUCUAUAGAAUCAACAAGUUUUGAGCUUAAAACCAUACCUUGGGGUCAAAUUGCAUUUUCCAAACUUCAGAAUCAGCAGCAAGAGAUUCAAGAGUAAGUAAUUAUGUGAGAAGCAACAUAGAGUAUUUCAAUCAUGAUCAGAUAAAUAAUCAAUAAGAACUUAUAAGCACAGAAUUUGUGUAAUCUACACUUCUAAUUCGUAACGUCACAAAAAAUAUGUAAAAAAACUUGAAGAGAAACAGGAAAACUUGAAGAGAAACAGGAAAACUUGAAGAGUGGGAAAAAAAACAUGUAAUCGUGAGUGUUUUGUCACUAAUCGUUGUGGGAAUUGAUUAGUCGACAGAAAUUCCAGUGAGAGGAAGAGAACUAAGGUUUACGAAAGAGGAAGAAGGGUUUAGAAUCAGACGGAAAGGGACCAAAAAUAUACACCGUGUUGUUUUCAACUUUUAAUCAUAUCCCCACCGUCAGAUCAAAUAUCAACAUCCUACGGUCUUAGUUGUCUCAGCGUUUGUCUAUAGACAAACUUAUGUACCCGUUGUCGCUUAUAACUUAGACUAAUAAAACCCAUGGCGCUGCCACGACUACCAUUAAUAAUUUAAAGAUAGUAAUAUUAAAAAUAUUAUUCUGUCACAUUUAAUUUUAGGAGUUAGAUUUGUAGUUUAUUCUUUUAAAACAGAUAUUCAGUAGGUGUAACAUAUAUCAAUUUACAUAGGUUAUACAGACGUAUCCCUCAGUCCAAGAGACAUAUAUCAAUUUACAUAAGUUAUACAAACUUAUUCACACUACAAAACACAGACAAUUUAAACCUAAAAAGACCAAAAAGAUUCGAGUGUGUGAGAUAGAAAUAAGAAUACUAAUAUUGGCAUGGAAGUACUGGUCUGUACAUAUUUGUUAAUAUUGUAUCCUCUUUAUAAUCAUUGAGAGAACUAAUCUAAUAUGUACAUGACAUUAAUACAUUGGUAGAAGAUUAAGAACCGAGAUUGAAGAGAUUAAAUGGAUGUUUUCAAGUGGUGUAAAUGUGGAGCAAAUGUAAACGAUGCAAGCUUCAACAUUGUUGUCCAUGUGAAGAGUAUAGAGGCAGG
rnacentral:lncRNA from 1 species